GAGACGAGAGGAGGAAAGGGUGGG
rnacentral:piRNA from 1 species